GGCAGCAUCUCUGAAAGGCCUGGAUAUCCUGACUACGGGUACUGUCUGCACAGUGUUUGUAUGUUCUCCCUGUGACCUACGUGUGUUUUCUCCGGGUGCUCCGGGUUCCUCCCACACUCCAAAGACGUGCUGGUUUUGUAGGUCAAUUGGCUUCAGUAAACAUUGCAAAUUGUCCCCAGUGUGUGUAGGAUAGUGCUGGUGUGCGGGGUGAUGGCUGGUCAGUGCGGACUCGCUGGGCCGAAGGGCCCAUUUCCACGCCGUAUCUCUCAAGUGUAAAUCUCAAUAUCACGUGCACUCUGGCCAGGCCAAGCAUAAAGAGGUUUAGUGCGUGGCUGCAUUGCCUCGAGGUGUCUCAUGUGUCCGUGUGAGCUGCCUGAAACAACAGUGUGCGUUUACAUCAGGCGGGCAGGCUGCCCUUCACCCGCUGUGUGGCUAAUUAAUCUCCAGACUGGGUUAAUCCCCUCGUGGCCAUGAUGCCCCUUUGAUCAGAUCUCACGCGUAGAGGGUUGUGGUCGGCUCAACCCGAUGGCUCUGAUCAGCAGGGUCAGAUCCACAGGAGAACUGGCAAUCAGUGGGUAUGUGGUGCGGUGGUGCGGGCCAUUAACACCCUGUUGGGAUGUAAUUAUCAGCACUAAUGCUCUUCCUUUAACUGGUACAAUACACAUAGAACAGAGAGUCCGAGAGUCACACAGCAUGGAAACAGGCCCUUCGGCCCAACUCGCCCGCGCCGACCAACAUGCCCCAUCUAUACUAGUCCCACCUGACUUCCUUGAAAGUGGCCUCACCUGGUGGAAACGGGAUUUAAAGAGUCUGUCGGCACAUUGGCUUCCAUCAGUCAGAGUAUUCAGUAGGGGGGGCACAUUGGCACAGCGGUAGAGCUGCUGUCUCACAGCGCCAGAGACCCGGGUUCGACCCUGACGACGGGUGCUUUGUAGGUUCUCUCCGUGACCUGCGUGGGUUUUCACCAGGUGCUCCGGUUUCCUCCUACAUUCCAAAGACGUACCGGGUUGUAGGUUAAUUGGCUAUGUAAAUUAUCCCAAGUGUAGGAUAGUGCUAGUGGUGAUGGCUUGGUAGGCCUCUGGGGAGUGUUGUAGAGCAGAGGGAUCUAGGAGUGCAGGUGCAUGGUUCCUUGAAGGCCGAGUUGCAGGUGGAUAAGUGGUCAAAAAGGCUUUUGGUACAGUAUGGAGUAUAGAAGUUGGAAGGCCAUGCUGCAGUUGUAUAAGACGUUGGUGAGACCGCAUUUAGAGAAUUGUGUUCAGUUCUGGGCACCACUUUAUAGGAAAGAUUUUGUCAAGUUGGAAAGGGUGCAGAGAAGAUUUACGAGGAUGUUACCAGGACUAGAGGGACUGAGCUAUAGGGAGAGGUUGAGCAGGCUGGGAGCAGAAGGAUGACGGGUGAUCUUAUAGAGUCAUAUAAAAUCAUUUAGGGGAAGAGAUUGGGUUGAUGCAGAGUUUCUUGCCCAGAGUAGGUGAAUCGAGGACCAGAGGACAUAGGUUCAAGGUGAAGGGGAAAAGAUUUAAUAAGAAUCUGAGGGGUAACUUUUUCACACAAAGGGUGGUGGGUAUAUGGAACAAGCUGCCAGAGGAGGUGGUUGAGGCUGGUAUUAUCCCAACGUUUAAGAAACAGUUAGCCAGGUACUUGGAUUGGACAGGUUUGGAGGGAUAUGGACCAAACGCAGGCAGGUGGAACUAGUGUAGCUGGGACAUGUUGGCCGGUGUGGGCAAGUUGGACGGAAUGGACUGUUUCCACACUGUAUCACUCUAUGAUGCACAGGUGAAUUGGUAAAACUUGCCCUAGUGUGUAGGAUAGAACUAAACUAUUGCCUCAAAGUAAUAGACACAAAGUGUUGGAGCAUCUCUGGGUAGAAGGAACGGGUGAUGUUUCCGGUCGAGACCCUCAUUCAGACCUCAGUGUAAUCUUUUCUUCCUCCACACUUGUACUCGAGUAUGAUUGUGCUUGUGUACAGUAAGAACUAUAUGCAAGACAGGAAUUUCACUGUACCUAGGUACACGUGACAAUAAAGUAUCACUGAAACAUUGAACCAUUAUCGUUUCAAAGACUCUGUCACUUCUGUCACUUUUUUUAUCUCCAGCAGAGGAACACAAAGUCCUAAAAAUGAUGAACUCGGAAAAUGAUUUUGGACCUGGGCGGCACGGUGGCGCAGCGGUAGAGCUGAUGCCUUACAGCGCCAGAGACCCAGGUUCGAUCCUGACUACGGGUGCUGUCUGUGUGCAGGAAUGAAUAGGUUACCAUAUGAUGAGCAUUUGUUGGCACUGGGCGUGUACUCGCUGGAGUUUAGAAGAAAUGGUCGCCGAGUCUACGCUUGGUCUCGCCGAUGUACACGAGGCCGCAUGUUGGGGCCACACACUGUGAGCAAUUUUGGGCCCCAUAUCUGAGGAAGGAUGUGCUGGCUCUGGAGAGGGUCCAGAGGAGGUUUACAAGAAUGAUCCCAGGAAUGAGCGGGUUAACUUGCAAUGAGCGCUUGUCUGCGCUGGGCCUGUACUCGCUGGAGUUUAGAAGAAUGAGGGGGGACCUCAUUGAAAAGUACAGAAUAGUGAAAGGCUUGGAUAGAGUGGAUGUGGAGAGGAUGUUUCCCCGAGUGGGAGAGCCUAGGACCAGAGGGCAUUGCCUCAAAAUUAAAGAACGUUCUUUUCGGAAGGAGAUGAGGAAGAACUUCGUUAGUCAGAGGGUGGUGAAUCUGGGGAAUUAUUUGCCACAGAAGGCUGUGGAGGCCAAGUCAGUGAAUAUAUUUAAGGCAGAGAUAGAUAAAUUCUUGAUUAGUACAGGUGUCAGAGGUUACGGGGAGAAGGCAGGAGAAUGGGGUUAGCAGGGAGAGAUAGAUCAGCUGUGAUUGUAUGGCAGAGUAGACUUGAUGGGUCAAAUGGCCUACUUCUGUUCCUAUCACUUAUGACAUGAUCUUCCUAUUAAAUCUUUUCCCCCUCACUACGUACUAAGUAACUAAAUCUAAGUACUCUGCAUCUCAAUUCCCCUAAUCUUGGUAUUUCUCACAUUAGUUUUUCUUUAAGAAAGAACUGCAGAUGCUGGAAAAAUCGAAGGUAGACAAAAAUGCUGGAGAAACUCAGCAGGUGAGGCAGCAUAUAUGGAGCGAAGGAAUAGGUGACGUUUUGGGUCAUUUGUUUGGUUAGUUUCCUUUUCCUUUUGUGGGCAUUCCUGGUUAUUGGGACAAAAUCUCAAGGCGUUUUCUUUCAGAAUACAAGGAACUGUAAAUGCCGGGUAAUCCACAAAAGGACACAAACUACGGAAGUGACUCAGCAGGUCAAGCGGCAUUCCUGAGAAGACAGACAGGUCGUGGCUGACCAUAGGUGUCACCAGGGUUGGAGGACACCUGUGCAUGACUUUGUUUAACGUGGGGAGACUGGUGCACAGACAGCCACCCCACGGUCCUUGACAGAUCUGGGUCAGGAUCCAGCGGCAUGGAGUCUAAGACGACCGGAGACCCUUUCCUGCUGCAGCCUUCAUCCGCCUUCCCAGCCGUUGUCAGACUCCAUUAAGGUCAGCCAUCAUCCUCUGCCUGUUCCACCGUUGAGGUCUUGGUUGGAUUUCUCUUUGUCAGAGACCUCCCCCCUCGACCUUACCACCAUGGGUGGCCCUACCAGGAGCACAGCUCCAGACGGCAUCACUCUCAGGAUCUCAGGACCACACAAGCUUCUCCACCACGACAAGGUGACAGUCCACGGAGAAUAAAGCAAAUUGACACAAAAUGCUGGAGUAACAGGUGGGACAGGCAGCAACUCUGGAGAGAGGAAAUGGGUGACGUUUCGGGUAGAGACCCUACUUCAGGGUGCAGGGCCGUGUUAAAGGGUGUUAAGGGGCUGUCCCAUUUGGGCGACCUAAUCCGCGAGAUCUGGCCAGUUUGCCUUCACUCAUAUUCGCAGCAUGGUCGACAUGUGGUUGGAAAAUGCCCGCGAGUAAAAAAAGGUCGCCAUGGAAAAAAUCGGUACUUUUUUUACUCGUAGGUUUAGUCGUAGUAGGUCGGCAUGUUAGUCUUAGGUAAUCGAGGGUAGUCGAAGGUAGUCGUAGAUAGUCUUCAUCAUAGUCGAAGGGAGGUCGAAGGAGAUCGAAGGAAGUCUUCUUCACUCCCCACUAUUUGGUGUCCAAUUUUCCCGAAGUUACUUGUAGCUAGUCGAAGCUGGUCUUCAACAUAGUCGAAGGAGGUCUUCAACGUGACAUUUUUUCAAAUUCUCCUAAUCUCUUCUAAACUCGCCAAUUAGGUCGCCCAAGUGGAACAGCCCCUUUAGGGUGUGCAGGGUAGUGUUAAUAUGCAAACGGACCCGGUUGGCCAAUGGGCCUGUUUCCAUGCUGUAUCUCUCAACUAAACUAAAACUAAACUAUUUCCCUCUGCAGAUUCUGCCUGACUUGGUGAUUUCUUCCAGCACCUUAUGUAUUGCACAAGAUUUUACACUACAAUGCUGAGAACUAUAUUCUGCACUCUGAAUCUUCCCCUUUGCUCUAUCUGUUGUACUUGAGUUUGAGCCGGUUGCAUUAAUGUACUGUAUAUAUCUUAUCAGUUUGGAUCGCACGCAAAUCAAAGCUUUUUCACUUAUUAGGAAUCUGAGGGGUAACGUUUUCACACAAAGGGGGGUGGGUGUAUGGAACAAGCUGCCGGAGGAGCUAGUUGAGGCAGGGACUAUCCCAACAUUUAAGGUACAUGGAUAGGACAGGUUUGGAGGGAUAUGGGCCAAACGCGGGCAGGUGGGACUAGUGUAUUGGGACAUGUUAGCUGGUGUGGGGUAGAUGGGCCGAAGGGCCUGUGUCCACACCGUAUCACUCUAUGACUCUAUGACUAUGACACUGUACCUCGGUACACAUGACAAUAAGAAACCUAAAACCUAGACCUCAGUUAAUGCUGUGCUAGAUGGACACAAAAAGCAGGAGUAACUCAGCGGGACAGGCAGCAUCUCUGGAGAGAAGGAAUGGGUGGCAUUUCGGGUCGAGACCCUUCUUCAGACUGAGAGUUAGGGGAGAGGGAGACGCAGAUAUAUGAAAGGGAAAGGUGUGAAAACAAGACAACAAAGGGGAUGAGGUUCUAGGAAACUGUAGAAAAGUUAAUUGGCAAAGGUGACAUUAAUCUUCCGAAACAUUAAUGCCGAGCAAGAUGGUUCCAUGCUGUCUACCAAGAAGUUUCUCCCCAAUGGCUCACACGUCAUUCUGAAAGCACUCAAGAUGUUGUUCUGGCGUAGGAAGGAACUGCAGAUGAUGAAUCAAACCGAAGAUAGGCACAAAAUGCUGGAGCAACUCGGCAGGACAGGCAGCGUCUGGUGAGAAGGAAAUGGGUCAUGUUUUACGUCGGGACCCUUCUUCUGAACAAGGGUCUCGACCCGAAACAUCACCCAUUCCUUCUCCCCAGAGACGCUGCCUGGCCCGCUGAGUUACUCCAGCAUUUGGUGCCUAUCAGAGUGUUGUUCUUAGAAACAUAGAAAUUAGGUGCAGGAGUAGGCCAUUCGGCCCUUCAAGCCAGCACUGCCAUUCAAUAUGAUCAUGGCUGACCAUCCAACUCAGUAUCCUGUACCUGCCUUCUCUCCAUACCCCCUUAUCCCUUUAGCCACAAGGGCCACAUCUAACUCCCUCUUAAAUAUAGCCAAUGAACUGGCCUCAACUACCUUCUGUGGCAGAGAAUUCCACAGAUUCACCACUCUCUGUGUGAAAAAUGUUUUUCUCAUCUCGGUCCUAAAAGACUUCCCCCUUAUCCUUAAACUGUGACCCCUUGUUCUGGACUUCCUUGACAUCGGGAACAAUCUUCCUGCAUCUAGCCUGUCCAACCCCUUAAGAAUUUUGUAAAUUUCUAUAAGAUCCCCCCUCAAUCUUCUAAAUUCAAGUGAGUACAAGUCGAGUCUAUCCAGUCUUUCUUCAUAUGAAAGUCCUGCCAUCCCAGGAAUCAGUCUGGUGAACCAUCUCUGUACUCCCUCUAAGGCAAGCAUGUCUUUCCUCAGAUUAGGAGACCAAAACUGUACACAAUACUCCAGGUGUGGUCUCACCAAGACCCUGUACAACUGCAGUAGAACCUCCCUGCUCCUAUACUCAAAUCCUUUUGCUAUGAAUGUUAACAUACCAUUUGCUUUCUUCACUGCCUGCUGCACCUACAUGCCUACUUUCAAUGACCGGUGUACCAUGACGCUCAGGUCUCGUUGCAUCUCCCCUUUUCCUAAUCGGCCACGAUUUAGAUAAUAGUCUACUUUCCUGUUCUUGCCACCAAAGUGGAUAACCUCACAUUUAUCCACAUUAUACUGCAUCUGCCAUGCAUUUUCCCACUCACUCAACCUAUCCAAGUCACCUUGCAGCCUCCUAGCAUCCUCCUCACAGCUAACACUGCCCCCCAGCUUUGUGUUCUUCUUGUGCACUGGUUACAAUACGAUAGAACUUUAUUUAUUCCAAGUGGGAAGUUGAUCUGCCAACAGUCAUAAAACACAAGAUACAUUAAAACAGGAAAGUAAAGUGACGAGUGGAAAGGAUUUGGGGACGUGCAAAUUCAGUGUUCGGAUUCAUUUCUCAUUUAAUGCAGGAAACUCUAAUGGCGCACAUUCCAAUAUUUACUGCACAUGUUCACUGACAGCCUUUUUAUAACAAUAAUAAUAAUGCUGAUAAACGAUCCCAUUCACUGUCACACCUGCCAAGGGCGGCACAGUGUCGCAGCGGUAGAAUUGAUGCCUAAUAACACCAGAGACCCGGGUUCGACCCCGACUACCGGUGCUGUCUGUAUGGAGUUUGUACGUUCUCCCCAUGAUCUGCAUGGGUUUUCGCCGAGACCUUUGGUUUCCUCCCACACUCCAAAGACGUACAGGUUUGUAGGUUAAUUGGUUAGUGUAGAUCAGUGUCACUCAUGUUAUGAGUCAUGCUUUUGUAGUUAUGCCCACUAGCUUUACAGUAACCCUCCAUGUCUGGUUCCCUUAGAAUUAGAAAGACGUGCAAGUAUGAAGUCAUAUUUGCUAUGUUGUUAAUAAAGUCUUUGGACCUU